UUCUGGCUCAGGACGAACGCUGGCGGCGUGCUUAACACAUGCAAGUCGAACGGAAAGGCCCUGCUUUGUGGGGUGCUCGAGUGGCGAACGGGUGAGUAACACGUGAGUAACCUGCCCUUGACUUUGGGAUAACUUCAGGAAACUGGGGCUAAUACCGGAUAGGAGCUCCUGCUGCAUGGUGGGGGUUGGAAAGUUUCGGCGGUUGGGGAUGGACUCGCGGCUUAUCAGCUUGUUGGUGGGGUAGUGGCUUACCUAGGCUUUGACGGGUAGCCGGCCUGAGAGGGUGACCGGCCACAUUGGGACUGAGAUACGGCCCAGACUCCUACGGGAGGCAGCAGUGGGGAAUAUUGCACAAUGGGCGGAAGCCUGAUGCAGCAACGCCGCGUGCGGGAUGACGGCCUUCGGGUUGUAAACCGCUUUCGCCUGUGACGAAGCGUGAGUGACGGUAAUGGGUAAAGAAGCACCGGCUAACUACGUGCCAGCCGCCGC
rnacentral:rRNA from 1 species